UACGGAGGGUGCGGGCGUUGUCCGGAAUCAUUGGGCGUAAAGGGCGCGUAGGUGGCUUCUUAAGCGUGCGGUGAAAGCCUGGGGCUCAACCCCGGGUCGGCCGUGCGAACUGGGGGGCUGGAGCACUGUAGAGGCAGGCGGAAUUCCGGGUGUAGCGGUGGAAUGCGUAGAGAUCCGGAAGAACACCGGUGGCGAAGGCGGCCUGCUGGGCAGUUGCUGACACUGAGGCGCGACAGCGUGGGGAGCAAACAGG
rnacentral:rRNA from 1 species